UUCAGGCUGUUUAGAGUGGCUGCUAUCAUUUGUUACUACUGCCAUAGGUGAACCUGCUAUCUGAUAUUGACAUUUCCCCAUCUGAACAUUGACAUGAGGUUUCUCUUAAAAACAUUUUUUCUUGGAAUCUACUGGUAUUGAAGUUAAACAAGGUGUGGCUGCUUUGUAGUGAGGUGGGUUGGUGUGGGUAUUUCUGUAGAAAUGCUUCACAGUCUGCACUAACCAGGAGUGCAAAAUCGGUAUUUAUGUAUCUGUCCACUGAUGUGCAAUGACUGCUACACAGGGCAGUCACUGCCCAACCCAGAUCUAGUAAGAAAAAUGUGACAAGGUUGCAUGUGCUGUGCAUUUGUGAGAGAACUGUCCUUGAAACCUGGUUCAAACAUGAUUCACCCUCAAAGGAGUCAAAGUCCUAGUUCAGCACAUUCAGGUAUCAGUCACUGUGAUCACUCAGUCCAGCACUGUGUAUGUGACACAGGUUAGUCCACCCCUCCUAUGAGUCCCAGCAGACAUCUCCAAAAGAAGUCACCAGUCUGAAGUCCAGAAACAUGGAUCAUCAGGUGAGAUGCUCUGAAUAACAGAGAUAAUGAACCUUAAGCCUUCAGCCUUCCCAUUUGUUUUUAUGGAGAUAAAUUCAGACUGAGGGACAGCACGAAUAAACGUUCCUCCAUGAAGUUUAGGCUUGAAUAGAUCUUCUCAAAGACCCACUGGCUCAAUCUCCUCCUAG